rnacentral:rRNA from 1 species
UGUUGCGGUGAAUACGUCCCCGGGUCUUGUACACACCGCCCGUCAAACCAUGAAAGUGACCAACUACCCGAAGUCCGAUUCGUCGGCCUAAGGUGGGGGGCAUGAUUGGGGUU